GCACCUGUGGCCGAGUGGUUAAGGCGCGGCCCUGCUAAGGCCGUGGGGUCUCCCCGCGUGCGGUCGAAUCGCAUCGGGUGCG
rnacentral:tRNA from 1 species